rnacentral:rRNA from 1 species
UACGGAGGAUGCGAGCGUUAUCCGGAAUCAUUGGGUUUAAAGGGUGCGUAGGCUGGUAUUUAAGUCAGUGGUGAAAUUUUCGUGCUUAACAUGAGAGCUGCCAUUGAUACUGGGUACCUAGAGUGUAUUUGAUGUGGGCGGAAUGUGUUGUGUAGCGGUGAAAUGCUUAGAUAUGACACAGAACACCGAUAGCGAAGGCAGCUCACAAAGUUACAACUGACGCUGAUGCACGAAAGCGUGGGAUCGAAAC